rnacentral:rRNA from 1 species
UCUAAUACCGGAUAACACCUCCACUCUCCUGGGUGGAGGUUAAAAGCUCCGGCGGUGAAGGAUGAGCCCGCGGCCUAUCAGCUUGUUGGUGAGGUAAUGGCUCACCAAGGCGACGACGGG